UGGGGAAUUUUGGACAAUGGGCUAAAGCCUGAUCCAGCAAUGCCGCGUGUGUGAAGAAGGCCUUCGGGUUGUAAAGCACUUUUGUCCGGAAAGAAAUCCUUGGCUCUAAUACAGUCGGGGGAUGACGGUACCGGAAGAAUAAGCACCGGCUAACUACGUGCCAGCAGCCGCGGUAAUACGUAGGGUGCAAGCGUUAAUCGGAAUUACUGGGCGUAAAGCGUGCGCAGGCGGUUUGCUAAGACCGAUGUGAAAUCCCCGGGCUCAACCUGGGAACUGCAUUGGUGACUGGCAGGCUAGAGUAUGGCAGAGGGGGGUAGAAUUCCACGUGUAGCAGUGAAAUGCGUAGAGAUGUGGAGGAAUACCGAUGGCGAAGGCAGCCCCCUGGGCCAAUACUGACGCUCAUGCACGAAAGCGUGGGGAGCAAAACAGGAUUAGAUACCCUGGUAGUCCACGCCCUAAACGAUGUCAACUAGUUGUUGGGGAUUCAUUUCCUUAGUAACGUAGCUAACGCGUGAAGUUGACCGCCUGGGGAGUACGGUCGCAAGAUUAAAACUCAAAUGAAUUGACGGGGUCAUAGCUGUUUCCU
rnacentral:rRNA from 1 species